UGGGUCUCUUCUGUAGACCAGGAAGUGCCGAGUCCGACUUCUACAAAUGACAAAACAUUACUCACUAAAACAGUUGCAAUCGAUUGUGGCAUUAUUUCGCUAAUUGUGUAAUAGUUUUUGUAUCUCACGUGUCAUAUCGUAUUGCAGCUAUUUUGGAAAAUGUUUCCUGUUUUGAAGUCACGAUUUAUGGAAAAACAGAUUGUUGCAUUAAGGAAAAAUUGGCACAUUUCGGAAAGGUGUAGCAGGGAUCGGACCAAAACGCAGCGUGGUGCAGACUCCGGCUGCAAAACCUGAACCUAUAGGGGAGGGUCUGGGUGGGCGUCUGUCCGCGGUGGCGGUUCUAGCGCGGGACGUGGACCCCACUUCACCAAAGUUCUGGUGCGCCUCUUCGCCCGCCUCCGUGGCCUCUUUAAAGCGGCGACCCUCGCCACCUACCUAGGACUGGCAACCCUACUAAAAGGGCCCCACUGGACUAAGGGGCAGCUCCGGACUGAGGGGCAGCUCCGGACUGAGGGGCGUCUCUGGCUGGCUGGCGGCUCUGGCAGCUCCUGGCUGGCUGGCGGCUCCUGGCUGGCUGGCGGCUCCUGGCUGGCUGGCGGCUCUGGCAGCUCCUGGCUGGCUGGCGGCUCUGGCAGGUCCGGACAGACGGGAGGCUCUGUAGGCAGAAGACGGAGAGACAGCCUGGUGCGGGGGGCUGCCACUGGAGGGCUGGUGCGUGGAGGUGGCACUGGAUAGACCGGACCGUGCAGGCGCACUGGAGCUCUUGAGCACCGAGCCUGCACAACCAUACCUAUUUGAAUGCUCCCCGUAGCCCGACCAGUGCGGCGAGGUGGAAUAGGCCGCACUGGACUGUACUGGCGAACCGGGGACACCAUGCGUAAGGAUGGUGCCACUCUAGCCCGGCUGAUACGAAGAGUUGGAAUGUACCGCACCGGGCUAUGCACCCGCACCGGGGACACCAUGCACUCCACAGCUUAACACGGUGCCUGCCAGGUCUCUCUCGCUCUCCGGUAAGCACAGGAAGUUGGCGCAGGUCUCCUACCUGGCGUCGCCACACUCCCUGUGUGCCUCCCCAAUACAUUUUUGGGGCUGCCUCUUAGGCUUCCUACCGCCCCGCCGUGCUGACUCCAUUCGCCGGUAUCCCUCCGCACACCGCUCCAGAGAAUCCCAGGCAGGCUCCGGCACUCUCCCUGGGUCGACCCUUCACCUGUCUAUCUCCUCCCAAGUAGUGCCACAGUCCAGAUCUCGCUGCCAUGUCCAGAAAUCCUGACAUCGCUGCUGCUGCUGCCCAUUACCACGCCGCUUGGUCCUUUUGUGGUGGGUGUUUCUGUAACGGCAGAUUUCCUCCUCUUUGUCCGAAGAGCAUGUGUAGCGGGGAUCGGACCAAAACGCAGCGUGGUAAGUGUCCAUAUCAUUUAUAAAAAACAGAAACUGAACACUAAGAACUACAAAACAAUAAAUGUGACCAUUAACGAAAACCAAACCAAAACAGUCCCGUGUGGUGACAGACACAGAAACAAACACCCACAAUCCAACAUUGAAACCCAUGCUACCUAAAUAUGGUUCUCAAUCGGGGAUAACGAUAAACAGCUGCCUCUGAUUGAGAACCAUAUCAGGCCAAACAUAGAAAUGGAAAAACAUAGAAAAACACACAUAGACUGCCCACCCCAACUCACGACCUGACCAUACUAAAUAAAGACAAAUCAAAGGAAAUAAAGGUCAGAACGUGACAAAUUUUAAGGUAUCUUCUGAGUUACAGUUUAUAUAAGAAUAUAUGGAUUUCACAUAACUGUGAAUACAAAUAUGCAUCUGUUGUUCACAGAUACCUUAACAAAAAGCUUGGUAUGUGUAUCUGAAAACCAGUCAGUAUCUGAUGUGACAACCAUUUGCCUCAUGCAGCGUGUCAUCUACUUCACAUAGAGUUUAUCAAGCUGUUGAUUAUGGCAUGUGGAAUGUUGUUCCACUCCUCUUCAAUGGCUGUGCGAAGUUGCUGGAUAUUGGCGGGAACUGGAACACGCUGUCGAUCCAGAGCAUCCCAAACAUGCACAAUGGGUGACAUGUCUGGUGAGUUGGCCUCUAAAAUGACGUUACAGGCAGCUUAUGGUAGAGAAAUAAACAUUAAAUUAUCUGGCAACAGUUCUGGUGAACAUUUAUACAGUCAGCAUACCAAUUGCACACUCCUUUAAAACAUGAGACAUCUGUCGCGUUGUGUGACACAACUGCACAUUUUAGUGUCCUUUUUAAAAAUCACCAGCACAAGGUGCACCAGUGUAAUGAUCAUAACGUUUAAUCAGCUUCUUGAUAUUCCACACCUGUCAGGUGGAUGAAUUAUCUUGGCAAAGGAGAAAUGCUCACUAACAAGGAUUUAAACAAAUGUUUUGAUAGCAAUCAUAUUUUUGUACCUAUGGAACAUUUUUGGGAUAUUUUAUUUCAUCUCAUGAAACAUGGGACCAACACUUUACAUGAAACGUUUAUAUUUUUGUUUAGUACACGUUUUUAGGAGAUUGUUCUGCGCGUAGGCAGCAAGGCAGGCUGCGCGCAGCAGCUCACAAUUAUAUGAUUGACAGUUCUGAUCGCCUAGUGAUGGAUGUUAGUCCCGCUUCAGAAGUUUCAUUCCUUUACAGAAAAGUAAAAUCAAUGCCUGUUCAUAUGUCCAGAGAAGGGUUUGUGUCGUCAUUUAAAAACAGCCUAUCCUAAAAGACGGACAAACAAACAUGCUGUAGCCGAGGCGCAUUCAAUUCCAUUAUGUCUGAAAGGCGUAAUCGAUAAAGGCUACCGGUAGCCUACUGUAAUUUAAUAUUAUGAGGCAAAAAAGAAGAUUAGGCUACCCCGUGCUCGCAAGACUGACCCGAAGAUGCCUCUGUGUCCCGCGACAUCGGUGCCAUGAAUAGGCUAUUAUAUUCUACACGCAACAGUCCGAAGACUGAACACACAGUUGCAACAUUAACAAGGAGUCAGAGAAGGCAGGCCAGUGCGAGGUGGAGAGAGUUUUGGUAUUCGGCAUCUCGAAAUGUAUUGUUUUACAUGCCUUGCAAAUUCACGAAUGUAGCCUAAAGUUUGCAUCUUCUUUUAUGGUUUUAUUUGAAUUACACAACUUUCCCAGGCCUUUAUAGCCUAUCAAUCAAAACACAGCAAAUAAUAUGUUUUGCGAUAACUUGCACUGUGCUUUUAAUUAAGUGGGAGGGAAAACAAAUUAACUUUGUUUUUCGGUGAGGGAUUUUUCUUAACGUUAAGGAUCCCAACUUCGUUUAAACGUUUUAACAUUCACCCCCAUAGUGGGAAGGAUCACAUAAUUAUAUCUGGGUCAUCAGGAGGGAUCAGACAAUUAAUUAUAAACGUGCGCAAACAUUCCAUUACUGCGGGUAGCAGUAAAUCGCCAACCUUGGCUUUAUACCUGUUGAAACAACACACUCCAGGUGGCAGUAAACACACUGUCAGUUUGUUUUCCAAAUUAUAGAAGCAGUAGAAGAAAAUUGACUGCUCGAUCGCCUUAAAUUCGCUGCCCGUAUGCAGAUGCCCUAUGGGAUAGAUACAAAGAAGUGUCCUCUAUCAUUCUCUAUGGAUUAUAGUUAACAAGACCGGAUUUGGAAGGAGAGCCUCGCGAGACUAGUUUGCCUACAAUUCAAUUGACUUUAUAGCGCUUGUCAAUUUAACAUUUGGUUAUGAAGUGACAUUUCACAUUGUCUAUAAUAACCACAACCUUUAUUCUGAACCACUAAAUACACCAUACAUGCUCUCUCCAUUCUUUAUCCACUGAAAUCAGAGCCGUUUGACAGCAGUGGCGGAACAAGAGUUUUAUACAUGGGGUGGCCAGGGGGUGGCUAAGGCUACUUCAGGGGGUCUAUAGACCAUGACAGAAAAUGUGUGUGUAACCCUAACCUGACAUCUAAGGAGCAUGAAUGAAUCCUAUGAUUCCUAUGAUUCACUUAACCUGGAGUUCUUCAAUGUGGCAGAUAGUGUGGUCCAAAAGGGUUAACUUCACAAGAAUUCUUUAAAAUACUAUGAAUAGUCCGUGUCUCUACCUCGGAACUGCAGCUCAAUUUCUCUCUCUCUCUCUCACUCACUCACUCACUCACUCACUCACUCACUCACUCACUCACUCACUCACUCACUCACUCACUCACUCACUCACUCACUCACACACACACACACACUGUACUCACAUACUGGAGAGACUUGGGUCACUCUGUUUUCAUGAGUAUAUAAUCUGGGUCUAUAAGUGUUGAACGUCCAACAUAUUUUCAGAGAAUAAAGCUCAAGCACCAAGGAUAUAAGAUAGCAUUUGUGUGUUACAUACAUUUACAAAAAAGUACAUUUACCCAAAAACACACUGCAAUUUGACAUACCAGGUAUCAAGCAGAAAUGGACUUGAAAUGGACAAACAUACAGUAUCAUAUUUAUGCUCAUAUAUAUUAUGUUAACUAAUAGCAAAGAAACGUUUUGGAAUUGUCCUAAGGUGGGUUUUAAUCAGUUCCAAAGCUGAGAAGCUUCUCUCGCAAGAAACACUGCUGACUGGUGUAACAACAGAAAUCUUACAAAGUCUAAAUAGCUCAUGGAAGACCUCUUUUUAUAAGGUUCUAGAAACACAACAAAGUCAAGGAGAGUAGACGGUCAGUCCCUUCCACUUUUCUCUCCCCUAACAAGAAGCCGCCUGGUUUGAUGAGCCUCAUGUUUGAGGUCAUCUAAAUCCGACUCAAAGGUCUGAGCAAAGGCAAGCAGAGACUCUUCAUUCAGGAAUGUUGUAGUCUUUGGGGUGAGAGACUGGACCCCUUGCAUUAUCUCGCAAUUCUUCUUUGAAAAACGCCUCUGCAGCUCAGCUGUGAGACUGUCAAGCACCUGAUAAAAGACAGCUCUUUGGAAGCUCUCACCAUCACUUUGGUCACUAUUUUUCUGUCCUACAGUGCUCAUCAAUGAGUCAUUAAAUCUUACGCUUGUUUUAGGCUAUCUUUUACAUACUGUUUGUACACUUAUUUUGCAGUGCUCUGCAAUCUCUUCAACCUCUUUCCAUAGAUCUCCAAAAUAACCCUCACUUCUGUAGUCCUGUAAUGUGUCUGUAAGGGCACCUACUAGGUCCACAGCCCUUGCUAGGUCAAGAGAGCUUGAUUGGAGUAUGUCAGAAAGACAUUUGGCAUCACCAAGCACUUUACAAAAGGUACCCAAAAGCCCUAUGAAAUGUACAUCUAUCUGAGAAAGAAGGCCCCUUGUCUCCACUGAUCCAUCACCACUAUUUGCAAGUGUGUUAUCCUGUAGCACUCUCAGAACUGCUGGAAGCCUGUCCCUCAGAUUACGGCAUACCAUGUAUCUGCAUGCCCACCUCACAUCCGUAAGUCUCUGUAGUUCCCUGGGCUGCUGCUGUGGAUACGGCUCUAUCUGAACUGCAAGCCACUUGAGAUGAACGUACGAGCCAGAUACAAAGUUAUAAAGCUUCUGCAGGAGAGCAAAAAAAUAAACUGCCUCAGGCACUGAUUUUACAGAUUCAAACCAUGUGCAUUACAGUGCACAUAAAAUUCAAAUCUUGCACUGUUUUUAAUCCGUGCAGACACACCAGAAUGCUUUCCGCUCAUGAUGGAUGCACCGUCAUAGCCUUGCCCCAUAAGAUUAUUUCUGUAGUCCAGACCAUGUUUUUCAAGGCAAUCAAUUUUGUGAGACCUGCUGCAUCUAAGUUUUCAGCUGACUGAAAGUGUAAAAAACUUUUGUGGAUGUCCCCGUUGUAAUAGUACCUUUUUUCAUUACACCUUUGAUUUCAUCUGCAAUUACACUAAACACUUCGCUUUCUUUUACUUCUCUUAUUAUUUCACUUUGUACCAUCUCAGCUAAGCCCUUUGUUCUGGAUUUGGUGGCUUGUGUACUUAGCAUUGCCAAAUGCAUUCAUCCUUUUCUCUAUGAGAGGGUCAUGCUUUGCUAUUUCUUCUAAGAUUGUCAAAAAAUGACCCUUGCUGUGAGAGUUAUCAGACUCUUGAUGACCUCUCUGCGCUAUAUUUUGAGUGAUAGUUAAUAGGAGCACAUCUGCAGUUGUUUUAAUGUAAAGUACAGUUUUCCUCCACUUUCUUUUUCCGGUUCUCAUUUAUGACGACAUCUAACAUUGAUGAGUUGCUGUCAAUAGCCCUUUUAUACCGAUUCCAAGCAUAUGUAGCAUUGAUAUGAUGCUCUGCCUUUGAAUGGAGCUUAAACCCAGAAUCUUUAAACUGAGCCUUUUUCCAGUUACAAAACCCUGACUGUGUGUGAAGGCAGAUGCAGGUGUAUUGGGCAGAGAAAAAUGCCUACAGGCGAAACAACAAGUAGAAUCUUGAUUUACAGAAUAUUCAAGCCAUGAAUUGUCUUUAUACCAGGGGCUGUUGAAAGCCCUUUUCCUAAUAUCAUGCUGAGUUCUGGGAAAUGUUUUCAAACACGGCUGUACAGGACCCUCUUCUCUGGAUCUUGAAAUGUCUGAAAUACACAUUAAAUAAUGUGUCAUAUCUCUAUAUAAAUGUAUAAUUAAGGGAUCCACAAGAUUAGAUACUAACAGCUGCUAACUAAAACGUGCAGUUUAAAGUAUAGGCCCGGCCCACCAUUGGGUCCUUUUGGAACAGAAGUCUAAUAUCUCCCCCUUCCUUUUCAUGUUUAAUUGAUCCUAUGCAAAAACAAGACAGUCUAUGGUUACAUCUAAGCAUCCAAUUACCCACGUUUUUAGUCCAAUCUCAAUCUUAAUUACAAAUCCUCAUUGUCAUAACUGUACCUUAAAAUCAACUACCAGCCUAAGUUACUAGUUAGAUCAUGGCUAGCCCUACUCUGCAGUAAGUAACUUAGCUAGCUAUAGUUUCUUACACCGUUACAAUAGCAAACUGCAAAUUGUGGUAAUCUUUUGAGUAACAUUAACAGAUUGAUAAUAACAAUUGUUCGUUUUGAGUUAAUGUACAAAAUUCUAACUGAGUUAAUGAAUUUCAAAUUGCUGAAUGUUAACUUGCCGAACACUGACAGCUGUAAUUUACUGCACUGUAUAUGCAUGUAUUACUUGCACAGAAGUACACAUAAUGUUAGGCUAAAUUGGGAACUGAUCUCUUAUCUGUUAAUGGAGGCAAAGGUCUAAUGUUAACUUACGCAGCGGCUCAACUUUCGUAAAAGUUGAUCAGGAAACCUAAACCCGAUGGAUGCUAAACCUUAAAACUUACUUCAAAUAUGAUAUUUCUCUCACAUUUUUUUCUGUAUGUUCUUCUUAUUCUUCUGUAUCUCGCAACGAACGUUAAUUUUCUCUCUUCCUCGAUUUGAAAAAAUGCGCCGUUGAACGUCAAAAUAAAUGCUUCUUUCAACAAGAGGUGAAAUGAGUUGUCAAUCAGCAUCAAACUGCCAGUAGCGAAUUACAUUUUGGGGUGCCACCCGGUGUGGCCAAUCAGAUGUCAGGGGUGUCCAGUGCCACCCCGGACACCCCUCUGGCUCCGCCCCUGUUUGAGAGGUCUACAACUGCAGGAGAAAGUGACAACACCUCCACCUCUGAAACCCAAGGCAGCCCUGUCCAAUGAAGACAUCAUGCGCUACAGCAGACAGCUUCUGCUGCCAGAGCUGAGUGUACAAGGUAACAAUGGCAGCUUUCACCCAAUCUCUGAAAAAAGGGUGUUCAUUUAGUGUGACAUUAUUGAACAUCUUAUUGAACACAUCCUUUACUCUCUGCAGGCAGGCCAGCUGAAUCUCUCCCAGACAUCAGUGCUGGUUGUAGGGUGUGGAGGACUAGGCUGCCCCCUGGCACAGUAUCUAGCUGCAGCAGGAAUCUGCUGAACUCCACUGUGGAAUGCAUUCCCUACCACCUCCAGCUCUCUCCAGAG